AGAGGGAAUUUUUGGUGGAGUGGUGAAAUGUAUUGAGAUUGGAAAGAAUAUUAGUGGUGAAAGUAUUUUGUUGGGUUGAUAUUGAUAUUGAGAGAUGAAAGUUAGGGGAGUAAAUGGGAUUAGAGAUUUUAGUAGUUUUAGUUGUAAAUGAUGGAUAUUAGGUGUUGUGUGAUUUGAUUUGUGUAGUGUUGUAGUUAAUGUGUUAAGUAUUUUGUUUGGGGAGUAUGUUUGUAAGAAUGAAAUUUAAAGGAAUUGAUGGGGGUUUGUAUAAGUGGUGGAGUAUGUGGUUUAAUUUGAUGUAAAGUGAAGAAUUUUAUUAGGGUUUGAUAUGUUGUGAAUUUUUUUGAAAGAGAGGGGUGUUUUUGGGAAUGUGGAUAUAGGUGGUGUAUGGUUGUUGUUAGUUUGUGUUGUAAGGUGUUGGGUUA
rnacentral:rRNA from 1 species